AGGCGCGUAGCUCAGUGGGAGAGCACUACACUGACACUGUAGGGGUCGUCAGUUCAAUCCUGACCGUGCCUACCA
rnacentral:tRNA from 2 species